rnacentral:lncRNA from 1 species
ACGAAUCCCACGCGCCCCCACGCCCACCUGCGCCGACCAAACCACAAGAUUCAAACGCCAUUAUUCCCCAUCCCUCCGCCCCCAAGAACCAAAAUUUCCCAAACAAAUCCGCAGAAACCGUACCUGAUCCAGGCGCACACCACCCGCGCCGCAAAUAGGGAGCGCCCCGCGCGGAUCCUCGGCGGGCCGGGGCGAGCAGAUCGGGAGAUCGGGCGGCGCCGGUCUCGGGGAAGGGAGGGGACGGAAGGGGAAGGUGGAAGGAGGAGGGCGAGAGAAGAAGGCCAGAAGCUAAAGUGGGUGAGGGUUUUGAGGAGGAGGGCG